rnacentral:rRNA from 1 species
UACGUAGGGGGCAAGCGUUGUCCGGAAUCAUUGGGCGUAAAGCGCGUGUAGGCGGCCUUGUAAGUCCGUUCUGAAAGCCCGGGGCUCAACCCCGGGAGGCGGAUGGAUACUGCAGGGCUCGAGUACGGAAGAGGCGAGUGGAAUUCCUGGUGUAGCGGUGAAAUGCGCAGAUAUCAGGAGGAACACCAAUUGCGAAGGCAGCUCGCUGGGACGUCACUGACGCUGAGACGCGAAAGCGUGGGGAGCAAACAGG